rnacentral:lncRNA from 1 species
GUUUGUCUGUGCUUUUAAUGAUACUUUUAAAUCCCAUUGCCUCCUGUUGAAGAAGUCAUACUUGUGCCACAUUUACAUGGGCAAACACUGCUGUAGUUGCUUUUAAGGUGGCAUGAUUUGCAGUUUUUGAUGACGUCUUGCACCGUCUGUGUUUGCAGAAAAGUGCGUCACCCGCAGGACUCUCUCCCAGAUCGACGGAAGGGAAUGGACUGACCAGCUCUCCGGUCCUCCGGAAGAAUCCAUCCAGAGAAGGCUCUUCCUCCCCUCGCUCUCAGCCGCGCUCGCCUCUCUGCAAAAGCCCCACUCAGGAGAAAGUGAGAUCUCCGUCUCCUUCAGCGUCCCAUGAAUCACUCUCUCCUGGCUCUCCAGCACCUCCCCGCCCUCUCUCGUCCUCCGCCCGCGGCCCGUCUCCCGCUCUCAAACACUAGGACCCACUCCAGCCCAUGGAGUGAGACUAGUGAAAGACCGCCGCUACCCCUCCCCAGCCCGCCCUUCCCAGAAUGCACGGGGCCAGUCCCAGAAUGCACCGGGGCGGCCCCAGAGCACUCGGGCCUGGGCAUCAGGUGCCUUGUCAGAAGCCCUUCAUCCAUCCUCGUGGCCCUCCGAGCCGAACUCUGAGCGAACCACAUCUGUGUUCUCACACGCCGGGCGUAAUCAGCCAAUCAGCUGUCUGUCUGACAGCUCUGUCAGCCAAUUAGAAAGAAGGCUGAAUAUUCUGGUGAGUAGUAUGUUCUGGUGUGUGUUAAAUGUGUAACUUUUAUAUACUACACAUUAUUAUU